rnacentral:rRNA from 1 species
AGCGGAGAUGAGGUGCUUGCACCUUAUCUUAGCGGCGGACGGGUGAGUAAUGCUUAGGAAUCUGCCUAUUAGUGGGGGACAACAUUCCGAAAGGAAUGCUAAUACCGCAUACGUCCUACGGGAGAAAGCAGGGGAUCUUCGGACCUUGCGCUAAUAGAUGAGCCUAAGUCGGAUUAGCUAGUUGGUGGGGUAAAGGCCUACCAAGGCGACGAUCUGUAGCGGGUCUGAGAGGAUGAUCCGCCACACUGGGACUGAGACACGGCCCAGACUCCUACGGGAGGCAGCAGUGGGGAAUAUUGGACAAUGGGGGGAACCCUGAUCCAGCCAUGCCGCGUGUGUGAAGAAGGCCUUAUGGUUGUAAAGCACUUUAAGCGAGGAGGAGGCUACUGAGACUAAUACUCUUGGAUAGUGGACGUUACUCGCAGAAUAAGCACCGGCUAACUCUGUGCCAGCAGCCGCGGUAAUACAGAGGGUGCGAGCGCUAAUCGGAUUUACUGGGCGUAAAGCGUGCGUAGGCGGCUUUUUAAGUCGGAUGUGAAAUCCCCGAGCUUAACUUGGGAAUUGCAUUCGAUACUGGGAAGCUAGAGUAUGGGAGAGGAUGGUAGAAUUCCAGGUGUAGCGGUGAAAUGCGUAGAGAUCUGGAGGAAUACCGAUGGCGAAGGCAGCCAUCUGGCCUA